GGGGAGGGUUCAGUAGGACGCCUCAGGCCUGGACACUUGGACCAACUGGCAGCGGCAGCCCCGCCCUCUCCGCCCACAGAGCGUGCGCCGAGACAGGAGUCCCGCCCCUGCCUGGCCUGUUGCCAGCCAAUCACCACUCAAGAAAACACGCCUGCGCAUUAGCUUCCCGACGCCCCAAUCGUCCUAUCCCAAAGCCGCAGGAUCCACCUUUUGCCAUAACAAAAGGACAGUGAUAUCCAAUCAGAGUUGAGAUCGCUUAAGGCGGAUCCAGGAAAAGCAACAGCCAGUGACAGUACAUUAGCUAAGCUAAGCGUGUGAAAGCCAGUCCGGUAGAGGCAGCUUCUCAAGUCUCAGCAGUUCCCUAAAAAUGGGGUCGAGAAAUCUGUGGAAAAUUCUGACAGCUGUCAGGAAGGAGGUUACUAAAUUCAUUGGAGAAUGAGUGUUGUCCUGAAUUUGGCCUCUUUAUCAGGAGGAUGUCAACAGCCAGUCCCGGCUGUGUCCACAGGAUGCUGCUGUUACCAUGACAACCGAUAUGACCAAAUCUUGGAGCCUUUCAAGAAACUUGUGGGUGAUCUCCUUGAAGUGGGCAAAGGAGGAACUAAAACAUACUGAACACUUAGUAAGUCA